UACGGAGGGGGCGAGCGUUAUUCGGAAUUAUUGGGCGUAAAGGGCGCGUAGGCGGCCUAGCAAGUCAAAGGUGAAAUCCCUCGGCUCAACUGAGGAACUGCCUUUGAAACUGCGAGGCUUGAGGCCGGGAGGGGGUAGCGGAAUUCCCAGUGUAGCGGUGAAAUGCGUAGAUAUUGGGAGGAACACCAGUGGCGAAGGCGGCUACCUGGACCGGUUCUGACGCUGAUGCGCGAAAGCGUGGGUAGCAAACAGG
rnacentral:rRNA from 1 species